rnacentral:tRNA from 1 species
ACUACUUUGACAGAUUAAUGUGUUAAAUUUAGAAUUUAUUUAUGUAAUUUUUAUUACAAGUAGUA